UGCUGAACGGGAGGGGUGGCCAAUGCUUUCUCUUUCCACUGACUCACGGAUGGUGGCAAAUGCCUUCUGGGGGUGGUUCCAGCAGUGGGAAGAAAACAACUGGCAGCGGAGGGGUGAACCUCUUUGGGCUGCUGAGCUGUGUGCUGAACCAUAAGGAAGGUGGCUGUAAAGGUGUGCCGUGCAGAUGUCGUGUGCCCAGCAGUCGGGCCGAUGAAGAGCAACAAGUGAAGCGCCAGAUGUCUACAACUAUGGGAACUCUUAUACGUCACA
ensembl:lncRNA